UUAAGCAUGUUUGAAUGAAAACAUCAGCAUAUGAACACAAAACUGAAGAGACACUGCAACCGAAUGAAAGCAGACCACUAUUUAGUGACAUUUGGACGUUUCCCUGAGGAUUAACUGCUGUGUAAUCUACCAAGAACUAAAUCAAAAUGAGUGCAAGUGGAGACGGACCACAAAAUAACCAAAACGGCCAACAGGUUAACCCACGAAUGUUGGCAAAUGGAGAUCAGGAACCUGCUAAUGGCUUCCUGAACAGACUGUAUCGCGCUCUCCAU